GUGGGGAAUAUUGCGCAAUGGGCGAAAGCCUGACGCAGCAACGCCGCGUGGGUGACGAAGGCCUUCGGGUCGUAAAGCCCUGUCAGGUGGGAAGAAACCUGUCCUCGAGACAGCUGACGGUACCACCGAAGGAAGCACCGGCUAACUCCGUGCCAGCAGCCGCGGUAAUACGGAGGGUGCAAGCGUUGUUCGGAAUCACUGGGCGUAAAGGGCGCGUAGGCGGCCAAUCGGGUCUGAUGUGAAAGCCCGGGGCUCAACCCCGGAAGUGCAUUGGAAACUGAUUGGCUUGAGUCCGGAAGAGGAGGGCAGAAUUCCCGGUGUAGGGGUGAAAUCCGUAGAGAUCGGGAGGAAAACCAGUGGCGAAGGCGGCCCUCUGGGACGUGACUGACGCUGAGGCGCGAAAGCGUGGGGAGCAAACAGGAUUAGAAACCCUGGUAGUCC
rnacentral:rRNA from 1 species